rnacentral:rRNA from 1 species
CACCAGGUUGAUUCUGCCUGACGUAGAGGCUAGACUCAAAGAUUAAGCCAUGCAUGUUUGCGAAGUUUAUAAUGAAACAACAGACGGCUCAGUAAUUCUGCGAUUAUUUGCACUAUCUAKAAAAGAUAACUAAUGUAACCAUUAGCUAAGAAGAUAGUUUAAGACGCAGGCUCAUCAGUUAGUUGGUAGUGUAAUGGACUACCAAGACUAUAACGGGUAACGGGAAAUUAGGGUUUUAUUCCGGAGAGGGAGCCUGAGAGAUGGCUCCCACGUCCAAGGACGGCAGCAGGCGCGAAAAUUGCCCACUCUUGAUAUGAGGAGGCAGUUAUGAGACAUGUUCAAAAGAAUAGACUGUAAAUAGGUCUAUGUGAUGCGAUUGGAGGGCAAGUUUGGUGCCAGCAGCCGCGGUAAUACCGACUCCAAGAGUUUCUAGAUGGGCGAGAGAUGAAAUACCAAGACCCCAACUGGACUAACAGAGGCGAAAGCGAUGUUCUUAUACGAAUCCUUAGAUCAAGGACGAAGGUUAGAAUAUCGAAAGUGAUUAGAUACCGCUGUAGUUCUAACAGUAAACUAUGCCGACUUAAUAUUAUAUUAGUAUAGUGUUAAAGAGAAAUCUUAAGUAUUCGGGCUCUGGGGAUAGUAUGCUCGCAAGUGUGAAAAUUAAAGAAAUU